CAGCAAGAGGCAGGUGAUCACAUUGUGCCUUUCCACUGCAUGCCUCACAGAUUGGAAUUGGCAAUGCUGUCAGUGCAGAGGGACAAUCAAAUGAUGGGGCAAUUGUACGACCUUCUACAUUUAAUUUGGAAGACUUACCAUUUCAGCCCAAAAUCAAUGAGAGAGCUCAGGGUCAUUGGGGCUGACUUGGGGGUAAAUGUGCUGAUGCCCAGUGGGGUGAAGGGGACAAGGUGGCUCCCACAUGUUUCAAGGGCCUUGGAGACCUUUCUUAAACAGUUCACUGCUGUGUACUACCAUAUGGACCAUUUGGCAAGCUCCUCUGCCAAUGCAGACAUUGCAGGCCGAGCUACAAAGGUUAAGAAAUCAAUGGAGGAUGCUACCUUUGUGGCCUUUUGCCAUGUUAUUGCAGACAUGUUCAGUGGCAUUAGUAAGUUUAGCCUCCUGCUUCAGAGGAAUGACAUCAUCUUACCACAGGCAGUUUGUGGCCUUGAAAAACUGCUGGUGACCACAGAGGCAAUGGCUGUGAGACCCAAGCCUGGGGGAAGACUGUCAGAGUUCCUGGCUGACCUGAGGCUGCAGAGGAGGAGGCAGCAAGAAAAGGGUGAAAUGGCAAUCUACAAAUUCCGGACAAUAACACUCAAAGGACAGGCAUCAGAGCUGGCAGGAGAUAGUGUUGGUGGCACUAAACUUGAAAAAGUAAUGGAUGUAACGAUCAUAUCCACUGUAAAACAUCUGAAAGCAAGAUUCAGUAGCCUCCUAGGGGAGAGUGCUUCUGGGUCUGACACAGCCAAGGCUGUCAAAUGUUUCAACAUUUUCAAUCACGAUAGCUGGCCAGAGAACCAAGAAAACUUAGUAGACCAUGGUGCUGAUGACCUUGCAUUUCUCUUGGAUCACUUCUCCACAGUUCUGAGAAGAAAUGGUGUAAACACUGACCUUGCAAAAGAAGAGUUUGUG
ensembl:lncRNA